rnacentral:pre_miRNA from 1 species
CAACUACUCCCUCUGUCCCAAAUUUCUUGUCUUAGAUUUGUCUAGUACGGAUGUAUCUAAUACUAAAGUGUGACUUGAUACAUCCGUAUCUAGACAAAUCUAAGACAAGAAAUUUGGGACGGAGGGAGUAAUUU